rnacentral:rRNA from 1 species
CCUACGGGGAGCUGCAGUGGGGAAUAUUGCACAAUGGGGGAAACCCUGAUGCAGCGACGCCGCGUGAGUGAAGAAGUAUUUCGGUACGUAAAGCUCUAUCAGCAGGGAAGAAAAUGACGGUACCUGACUAAGAAGCCCCGGCUAACUACGUGCCAGCAGCCGCGGUAAUACGUAGGGGGCAAGCGUUAUCCGGAUUUACUGGGUGUAAAGGGAGCGUAGACGGCAGCGCAAGUCUGGAGUGAAAUCCCAUGGCUUAACCAUGGAACUGCUUUGGAAACUGUGCAGCUAGAGUGCAGGAGAGGUAAGCGGAAUUCCUAGUGUAGCGGUGAAAUGCGUAGAUAUUAGGAGGAACACCAGUGGCGAAGGCGGCUUACUGGACUGUAACUGACGUUGAGGCUCGAAAGCGUGGGGAGCAAACAGGAUUAGAUACCCCUGUAGUU